rnacentral:lncRNA from 1 species
ACAGUCUCCAGGCUGCAGCAUCUGGUGAGGAAGGGAAGGUGUAUGGCUGCAUUGUUUUUCUCUUGGUGUUCAACUGGAAUAGAGCAGGAAAUUGCUUUGGAGAUGAGGAAACAAACUCUUAUGGAGACCUAAGAGACUGAAGACAUCUGGCGUGGACUACUCUGAUGGAAAAAAGUCACGUGUUCAUGAUGAUCAAACACAGCUGUUUGAUUGGUGUUAAAAUGGAUCUGCCUGAUAAGACCUGGAACUGAGAACCCAAACAGAGCCUUAAGGUAAGCUCCCAAGGGAAGUGCUGGCAGUAGAUAUUCAGAGGCAUUUUGGACAGUUGGGCAAUCAGAGUGAGACUGACCCACAAGCAGGCAAAACGUGUAUGCAUU